rnacentral:rRNA from 1 species
UGAACGCUGGCGGCGUGCCUAAUACAUGCAAGUCGAGCGACCAGACGAGGAGCUUGCUCCUCUGACGUUAGCGGCGGACGGGUGAGUAACACGUGGAUAACCUACCUAUAAGACUGGGAUAACUUCGGGAAACCGGAGCUAAUACCGGAUAAUAUAUUGAACCGCAUGGUUCAAUAGUGAAAGACGGUUUUGCUGUCACUUAUAGAUGGAUCCGCGCCGCAUUAGCUAGUUGGUAAGGUAACGGCUUACCAAGGCAUCGAUGCGUAGCCGACCUGAGAGGGUGAUCGGCCACACUGGAACUGAGACACGGUCCAGACUCCUACGGGAGGCAGCAGUAGGGAAUCUUCCGCAAUGGGCGAAAGCCUGACGGAGCAACGCCGCGUGAGUGAUGAAGGUCUUAGGAUCGUAAAACUCUGUUAUUAGGGAAGAACAAAUGUGUAAGUAACUAUGCACGUCUUGACGGUACCUAAUCAGAAAGCCACGGCUAACUACGUG